AAAAAAAAAAAAAAAAAAAGGACAGGAAGAUCCUCACUAGCUGGUCACUCCGAUCAUUUCGUUUGGUUUUAUUAUCAUUUGAAGAUGGGACACUGGGAUGAUCAGAGGGCACCCUGAUCUAUUGAGGGAUAGGCCAUAGCAGUUUGUACAACCGCCAUAGGCCUUCUGUAACAAUGACCUACAUUGCUUAAGAUAUAAAGCGAAGGUUCUCAGCUCAAUUGAUAGAAGAUAAAGAGCAGAACACCAUAUUCCUAUCAACCUAACCCAAGUAUCAAACAUACCCAUCAAUCAAUUCAACUAGACACGCUUACAAUCAUAAAACGAACCAUAUCAGACCGCCCAAUUCCUAAUUAGCUCACAUGGGUAUGAUAAUCAUUCAAUAAUCCCCAAAUAAAGUAAAUCAAGUUACCACAAAAUCAUCAAAUCAGAUCAUAGAGGCACCAACUUCAAGCCCCCAAAUAAAUUAAAGAAAGAACCCAAUUCAAUUGGGAAAAAAGUUAAGAAUAACCAAUUUCCUUCCAGUAUAUCCCAUCAGAUAAUUAAUAAAGACGGAGAAGAAGAAUAAUGAUAAGAAAAACUAAUAAUUUUUUUUUUAAAAAAAAUAUUUCUUCUUAAAGUGGACCAAACUGAGAAUCUUCAUAUUGUAAGCCUGUCAUCGCCAAGAACAUGUUCUAGAAUUUUAAAAAAUUUUAAUUUAGGUGAGCUAUCAUUGAUUUCCUUUCAUUUUGACUCUGGCUUAUUGAAAUUAAUAUAUAGUCAUGGAUUUUAUAUAUAGAAAGAGGAUCAUGCAUGUAAAUUAUAUUUUUAUAAGUUAGUUACUGUAUUUACAUCAUACAAUAAUUCAAAUUAAAAAAAAUAUUUUAU
rnacentral:misc_RNA from 1 species